AUUCUACUCCCUCUGUUCCGAAUUACUUGUUUUGGAUUUGUCUAGAUACGAAGGUAUCUAGCACUAAAAUGAGUCUAGAUACAUCCGUAUCUAGACAAGUAAUUCGGAACGGAGGGAGUAUAAG
rfam:Triticum aestivum genome assembly, contig: Triticum_aestivum_CS42_TGACv1_scaffold_210520_3AS